rnacentral:sRNA from 1 species
AUUGUUAGAAGAUACAAUGACGAAGACUCAGACGGACUUCGGCUACACCAUCAAAGCUUUGAGAAGCAAGAAGCAGUUGGUUAGCGUUUUGGAGUCGAAUAUGACUUGAUGUUAUGUGUAUGAGUGAGUAUAAAAAC